rnacentral:tRNA from 1 species
CAUUGAAUGGCUGAAAUGAAAGCAUUGGUCUCUUAAACCAUUUUAUAGUACCACCUACUUUCAAUGG